rnacentral:lncRNA from 1 species
CAGAAAACAUCUAAUUUGCUGUUUUCGGGCUCUCCCGCUGCACUCCUGGGCCCUCGCCACACCGCGGGCCUACUGUAACGGGCAGGCGGGGUGAAGACGCGAGCUCUUGGCUCGGCACCGUCGGCCCACGUCUGUCAGACGAUGUGGAGUCUGCUGGAGCAAAAGGCCCGUUUGCCUGGAAGGAGAGCAAGGGGAAGGAGAGCGAGAUUGCAGACUGUCUCCCAGCCCCACCUCAGCCGCAAGGCCACCCGGCUGGAGGAGGUCAGUGGGGUUGAGACAGAGAGGGACGGCUGCCUGGAGCUGCCCACAGACGUAACGGGAGUAACUGGAGAGCUGACCUGCAUCCUCUGUGGGCACCCCUUUCCAGCUCUCUGUCCUGGACACCACGUGACUGCAGUGAAGAGCACCAGCCUUUGCCUGAUGGGAGAUUAAUACGCUCCUGCAGCUUCAGGACAGAGAGCUGAGGUUCUCCUGGUCAUGGAAGUGAGUGUUUUCCAUUCAAAGUCGGACGCUUUUCAGAUUUACCACAGUGCAGACUUGAGGACAAAGGGGGAUUCUCACUCAACAGCCCUGAAACGGUGGUCCUCCGUCCUUGAUGACUUGAGGCUCAGCCGUCAGUCAGCCAGCUGGGAGCACCCCUGCCUUCUGGGACCCACAGCCUCUGGCAUCAGGCAACUUCUUGCAAACCUGGACCUUUUCCAGUCCCAGGAUUGAGUCUUCGAGUCGCGUCUCCACUUCUUGCCGUCCUGAGUUUCAGAAGACCGUCUGCCCUCUGAGUUUGCUGACAACUCUGAGACCGUCCACUCUCCAGUCACGUGCUCUCCCCUCCCUCAGCACUUGAGUGAAGAGGCCUCGCCCCCAGAGCGCUGCGGACAUCUCACCUGAGAACAGCCUGACAUAUCUGCCCUGCCCCACGGCAGACCCCGCACUGCCCAUCGUGAGGCCCUGGGGACACGCCCUGGGCGAGCACACCGCCUUGUUCCUGCGUCUCUGCUCGUAGCACCACAGACAGUCCACACCAAGGGCUCACGGACCCUCGACGUCUCGUGCCCUUGACUAGCUCCCAGGAGACGCUAUUGGCUCGGCUGUUAAGAUUCUCCUCUGCUGUUC